CGUAGGGUGAACCUGCGGAGGGAUCAUUACACAAUAUGAAAGCGGGUUGGGACCUCACCUCGGUGAGGGCUCCAGCUUGUCUGAAUUAUUCACCCAUGUCUUUUGCGCACUUCUUGUUUCCUGGGCGGGUUCGCCCGCCACCAGGACCAAACCAUAAACCUUUUUGUAAUUGCAAUCAGCGUCAGUAAACAAUGUAAUUAUUACAACUUUCAACAACGGAUCUCUUGGUUCUGGCAUCGAUGAAGAACGCAGCGAAAUGCGAUACGUAGUGUGAAUUGCAGAAUUCAGUGAAUCAUCGAAUCUUUGAACGCACAUUGCGCCCUUUGGUAUUCCAAAGGGCAUGCCUGUUCGAGCGUCAUUUGUACCCUCAAGCUUUGCUUGGUGUUGGGCGUCUUUGUCUCUCACGAGACUCGCCUUAAAAUGAUUGGCAGCCGACCUACUGGUUUCGGAGCGCAGCACAAUUCUUGCACUUUGAAUCAGCCUUGGUUGAGCAUCCAUCAAGACCACAUUUUCUUAACUUUUGACCUCGGAUCAGGUAGGGAUACCCGCUGAACUUAAGCAUAUCAA
rnacentral:rRNA from 1 species